rnacentral:lncRNA from 1 species
UUUUCCUCCCGAUAAUACCUCUGCAAACAAGUCACACCAGAGCAAGAGUAUCUCAUAUCAUCAGGGUUAAAAGCAAGAGUAUCCCAUAUCAUGCUUUUUCCCUGUCUUUUCCUUUGGCCUUGUUCUUACCUGCAAGAUAAGGAGAAAGAGAGUAAUCAGUCAGCACUUGGAAUCAAACUUCCAGUCAGGAACUGACUGCUUGGAACCCCUUGCCUGAUUACUUACCUGACACUGCUCUCGAGUACUCAUCUUCAACAUCUUAUGCUUCCAGAGAAGAUACCACAUCUGCUUGAGGAACAGAUAGGGUAAGUGAGAAGGAUACAAGGAAGCAUAUGGAGACAAGCGUAACAGAACACGUGCUGAUACAUCCACUACUUUGUCAAAAGCAAAAGUAUCCCAUAUCAUCAGGGUCGAACGUACUCUAGAUUUGAUGGACUUGUUUUGACCCUUAAAUUCUUGAGUCGGCCUUAUACUCUGGAGGAAACUAGAAAACCCUCUAGCCCAGUUCAAGAAUAAGCCUAUGGAAAGUUACUUCUUCAAAAGCAAAAGUAUCUCAUAUCAUCUAUUCUCCAUUUGCUUCUCCUUAUCCUUGGUGCAAUUUACAACACAAGGAGAAUGAGAACAAUCAACCGGAAGCCAAAGUCGAACCUCUGAUCCAGGUUGCUUGCUUGGAAUUCUGAUUGCUUACCUUGUUUGUUACCUCUUUUGGCAAAUCUCCUAGCUCGGCGACUUGGGGGACUUCUACUAUAGGGUUUGUAUCGCACUUGACCAAGCCCGAAAUUACAAGUAAGCUUCAAGUGAAAUUGAUACAUUACCUUGUGCAUCUUCAUCGGUUAAAGAUACCACCCCUAGAUGAAGGAAAAGUACUUCCAGAGAAGAUGCCACAUCUACAUAUGAGACAGAU